GGCCACCUCCAGCUGCUGCAGCGAGUUAAACAGCUUGACGGCCUCAUCUCGGAGCGAGCCGUAGCCCUUCCCGCUGUGGUCUGAGACGGGAGGUUGUGUGGUUAAUGCCCAAGAUAAACAUCUACAGUGCAUGACAGGAGAGCAUGGCAUGAAAAAUGAAAAAACGUCAAGGAACAGGGCCCUUUCUAAUCAACGCGCAGCAUGCAGAACAUCAGGUCUGCUUGUCCGGCCAGAUGACCGAGCAGAGACUCGUGAGGACCAGGCUGCCCAGCCUUCGUGAACUCUUCUCCUGACCGUUGUAGCAGUCCAGCGAGUCCUGUGUGAGAACGAACCACUGUCGCCGCUGUCGGA